rnacentral:lncRNA from 1 species
CUCUCUCUCUGCUUGAGGCUGCGGCCGGGAGGCAGCCAAAUGGCGACGCGCGCCUCCACUCCGGUCCUCCGGGAACCUGCGCUGCGCACACACUGCAUGCCUCCAGGCGUCGCCGACUGAGUGGUAAGAAAAAUAUCUUCUCCUCCCUGUUGUUGAUGGUUUUCUUGCCGCCUUGCCUUGCUUUUUGUCACCUUCCUCCUCCCAUUUCCAUCUGCUCUGCUCUUGCCUACUUUCGUUUUGCCUCGGUUCGUUCAUGUCUUUGCCUUGAUUUCUUGGAGAAUCAUCGAGGUCGUGUUCCUCUUGCAUCGUUUGCCGCCAUUGGUUCCUGAACUUGCUGAUCUAUCUAGAUGCAGUCCGGGAUUACAAUCAAUUGCAGCAAAAGAAGAAGAAAAGCUGGGGCAGAUCUCAUAUUGUAGAGCGUGCGUGCUAGAUGGGGAGGCGCCGGGAGGAAGGUGGAGAGAGGCGCAGUGCGGUGUGGUGGCCGUCGUCGUCUUGGGUGCCAGCUUAAAUGGGCAAGCAGACUUUGAAGUAAUGCCGGGGAUCGAGUCCGGCGCGCUGGCAGAUGAACCGGAUGACAUCCCACCGCUCCGGCCACCGCCGCACGGGCCCUGCCUAGGAUGCAAAGCACGUCCGCGCCAUGGGCUCCGGCGUUCCGUCGGUCCGCGCUGCGCAGGUGGCGACGCAUGCAGGCCGAUCAGGCGUGUUGCCGGACCCCGGACGCGGCCUUCUUGCUUUUUCGAGGCUCUUCUGUCGUGUAGUAUAGUAUGACUGGCCGGCCCAGAACAUUGUAGAACAUGCCAAAGAUUCCCGCGGUUU